ensembl:snRNA U6 U6 spliceosomal RNA
GUAUUCUUAUAUAGCACAUAUAUUAAAAUUAGAGCUAUAAAAAAGAUUAGCAUGGUCUCUGUAUGAGGAUAACACACAAAUUCAUGAAGUGUUCCAUAUUUUU